rnacentral:ncRNA from 2 species
AAGUGAUUUUGAUUCCUAAUCUUGUCUUCUCUAAUGGCAACAAUCGGCCGAUGAGAACAAGACGUUACGGUGUGAUUGGAAACGGCCACAUCUCCCAUCUUUUGGAAAGGAAUGUUUAUGGUAACCGU